AGAGGUGUAGCUUAGCUUGGUUAAAGCGCAAGAUUCCAAAUCUUGAAACCGAAGGUUCGAAUCCUUUCAUCUCUG
rnacentral:tRNA from 1 species